rnacentral:rRNA from 1 species
UACGGAGGGUGCAAGCGUUGCUCGGAAUUAUUGGGCGUAAAGGGUAGGUAGGUGGUCUCAUUUGUCUGGGGUGAAAGCCUUGAGCUUAACUCAAGAAGUGCCCCAGAAACGGUGAGACUAGAGUCCUGGAGAGGGUCGUGGAAUUCCCGGUGUAGCGGUGAAAUGCGCAGAUAUCAGGAGGAACACCAAUGGCGAAGGCAGCUCGCUGGGACGGUACUGACGCUGAGGCGCGAAAGCGUGGGGAGCAAACAGG